CCUACGGGUGGCAGCAGUAGGGAAUAUUGCACAAUGGGGGAAACCCUGAAGCAGCAACGCCGCGUGAGUGAUGAAGGUUUUCGGAAUGUAAAGUUCUUUUAAUAGGGAAGAUAAUGACGGUAUCUGACGAAAAAGCACCGGCUAACUCCGUGCCAGCAGCCGCGGUAAUACGUAGGGAGCAAGCGUUACUCGGAAUCACUGGGGGUAAAGGGCGCGUAGGCGGGAUCGCAAGUCAGAUGUGAAAUCCUAUGGCUUAACCAUAGAACUGCAUUUGAAACUGUGAAUCUAGAGUGUGGGAGAGGUAUGUGGAAUUCUUGGUGUAGCGGUAGAAUGCGUAGAUAUAAGGAGGAAUACCAGUGGCGAAGGCGACAUACUAGAAUAUAACUGACGCUGAUGCGCGAAAGCGUGGGGAGCAAACAGGAUUAGAUACCCGAGUAGUC
rnacentral:rRNA from 1 species